UGCAACACAGGCAGUGACCAGAAACAAAG
rnacentral:piRNA from 2 species